CAUCUGUUUUUUAAUUCACAUUUGCUGAAAUUUAUGGACAUUGUAACAUUCAAAACUGCACAAUUUAUGUUUAAACUUAAAGAAAAUAAUUUACCAUGUAACAUAGGCGCAA